AGUGAACGCUGGCGGCGUGCUUAACACAUGCAAGUCGAGCGGAAACGAUGAUAGCUUGCUAUCAGGCGUCGAGCGGCGGACGGGUGAGUAAUGCUUGGGAAUAUGCCUAGAGGUGGGGGACAACAGUUGGAAACGACUGCUAAUACCGCAUAAUGUCUACGGACCAAAGGAGGGGCUCUUCGGACCUUUCGCCUUUAGAUUAGCCCAAGUGAGAUUAGUUAGUUGGUGGGGUAAAGGCCUACCAAGGCGACGAUCUCUAGCUGGUUUGAGAGGAUGAUCAGCCACACUGGGACUGAGACACGGCCCAG
rnacentral:rRNA from 1 species